UACGAAGGGGGCUAGCGUUGCUCGGAAUCACUGGGCGUAAAGCGCACGUAGGCGGCUUUUUAAGUCAGGGGUGAAAUCCUGGAGCUCAACUCCAGAACUGCCUUUGAUACUGGCGAGCUUGAGUUCGGGAGAGGUGAGUGGAACUGCGAGUGUAGAGGUGAAAUUCGUAGAUAUUCGCAAGAACACCAGUGGCGAAGGCGGCUCACUGGCCCGAUACUGACGCUGAGGUGCGAAAGCGUGGGGAGCAACAGG
rnacentral:rRNA from 1 species